CGACUCGAGCGAAGCGAGAGAACGUUGCCGCAGGCAAUGGCCCGAAGGCGAGGCGCUUUAGCGCCGAGUAAUCCUUCCCCCACCACUU
rnacentral:sRNA from 1 species